rfam:Gossypium hirsutum cultivar TM-1 unplaced genomic scaffold scaffold5252.1, whole genome shotgun sequence
AACCCAUAGUGAGGGCACCGUCUCAAUAAGUCCUUAUACAUCUCUCAUGCAUCAUAUAAAGUCUCUAAAUCGAUCUGAACGAAGGAAGAGAUAUCAUUCCUCAAUUU